GACAGCCUCUAUCUUCAGAGAAAGGGGAGGAGAUGCAAAGUCUUCAGUCUUCGCCACAUGCACAGCCACAUUUCGCACUCAAUAUUUAUGGUAAUGAGCUAAGCAAAAGUCUUGGUCUUUGCUUAUCCUUCCUCAAGUUUUUCAUUACAAAAAAUUCUAAGCCAUUUUUUCAUUAGUUACCACAUAUUAUGGCUUCUUCUUCCUCCUCUUCUUCUUUCCUCUCCUUCUUCUCCUCCUCCUUUAUUCUCUUCUCCUCUAAAACAUGAUAGUAUGUAUCCUUGCACACUUUAUUUUUUCCUUCUUUUUCUCUCCUCCAUCUUUUUGAAUUUUGCUAUAUGGGACUAUGAGUAUUCAGUAUUUGGUUGUUUACUUUUAUAUGGAUAUUAUGAAUUUGUUCUCUAAAAUAUGGCAAAUUUUCUUUUAUAUGUAUAAUUUGUUGUUUAAUUUAUAUUGGUAUUAAAUUAUCAAUUUAUUGUUAAAAUGUAUCCUUUUACUUUUUAUUCUUGUUAAU
rnacentral:misc_RNA from 1 species